AAAUAUUCACCACCCUGAAACUGCACUUGAUUCCUUCACACGGGAAGCUUCUGGAAGCUGUAAGGGUGACAGGUAUCAAAAAAGAAGGAAGACUGCCCCCAGGCCGGGAGGGUCUGUUGGUGUGCUGCUCUUGUUCCAUGAAAUCCAGUGCAUUCCAUAGAAAUUCUAGAAGUCUUCACAUGGCUAGCUCCUCCCUGCUGCUUCUGAAUUGGUUUCCCAGACAAACUAUUUGGGACAUAUUGUCACUGAAACAUUAUUCACUGUUUAUCUGAAGUUCAAAUUCGACUUUCUAUCCUCUGGCCACUCUAAUUCCUAGUGACUUAGAUUCUGAGCACAAAAUGAACUGGAACAAACAAACGAACAAAAUGACUUUCAUUCUACAUGGAAGAAAUGUAUACUCAACAAACUUAAUUCUUUGUGCAUCGACACUGCCGUGGAUUCAUACAUCCCCCUGGAAGAUACCAGGGACUUACUCUGGAAACGUACACAGGGCGCCUCAGGAAGUUUGUGGGAAAAUAGAAGUAAAAGAGCGAGACAUAUGUUUGGGAAUAAGCUGGUUAUCUAGUAAUUCUGGAAAAGCUGCCAAGGAGUUAUUCUCAAAUUAUGUGGACCAUGCACACGCAGUCUCCCCUUCCCUGUGUGGCAUAACGACCUUUGUAGCCUUCCGGCAGCAAAAUCAAAGAGCCGUUUGCUUCUGGUGGGUCUGACAACCCCCCUAUCCCUGAAAGGAGGAAGGUCUUCCUGUGGAGACCCUGACAUCUGGAGAUAAAUCAACAUCUCAGUUCUUUGGACCAAUAAAGAAUCGUCCUAUAAAACCUGAGAAAUAAAA
rnacentral:lncRNA from 1 species